AACGAACGCUGGCGGCAUGCCUAACACAUGCAAGUCGAACGAUUGCCUUCGGGUGAUAGUGGCGCACGGGUGCGUAACGCGUGGGAAUCUGCCCUUAGGUUCGGAAUAACAGCUGGAAACGGCUGCUAAUACCGGAUGAUAUCGCGAGAUCAAAGAUUUAUCGCCUGAGGAUGAGCCCGCGGUGGAUUAGGUAGUUGGUGGGGUAAAGGCCUACCAAGCCGACGAUCCAUAGCUGGUCUGAGAGGAUGAUCAGCCACACUGGGACUGAGACACGGCCCAGACUCCUACGGGAGGCAGCAGUGGGGAAUAUUGGACAAUGGGCGCAAGCCUGAUCCAGCAAUGCCGCGUGAGUGAUGAAGGCCCUAGGGUUGUAAAGCUCUUUUACCCGGGAAGAUAAUGACUGUACCGGGAGAAUAAGCCCCGGCUAACUCCGUG
rnacentral:rRNA from 1 species